rnacentral:misc_RNA from 1 species
UUAACUAUUUUAUAGUACUCAGACGACAUUUAUUACAGAGUUGUGGUCCUCUGGUGGGCACUAACUAGCCGAAGCCAGUGCUUGCGCGGCCCACCAAAGCAACAAAUUAAGAUAAUCAAGGGUUAGAAGGACCGGUUGCCCGGCUUCAUUUUUAAUGAUCCUUCCGCAGGUUCACCUACGGAAA